rnacentral:lncRNA from 1 species
GGUCGAGGUCGCUUAUCCACGAGGAGUAAGAGGCCAUGCUGAGGAAGCUGGAGGACUGCAGUUCUACAUACUAUCCUGCCCUGAGCCCCACUUCAGGCUGUCAGCCAGCCUUGUCUCCAGCCUGCUCACCACUCACUGAUGCGUUUUGCACCUCUUAGUCAUAACUGCUCAAACAAGGCUCAUUCUGAUGAAAAGAAGGGGGUGUAGAAGAGCAAUUUUCAAGUUGUCAUUCUGGUAUUUCAUCUUGGGAAACCAGAAACCUACAAAACAGCAAGGGUUUGCAUACUGGAAGACUCCUCAGCCCGCCCCAGAAGAGGCACUCCAGCAGAGAACUCAGGCCCUUCACCAUGCUGCUGCAUGGUUCCUGACACUUGUGCAGUCCGUUCCGAAGCUUCUUACAGUUGAGGUGGGUGACUGCAAAUAGGCACUGCUUCUCCUCUGUGUCAGAGUAAGCACGGGCAGUGCAGGGUGGCUGCACGUCCUGAGUUGCCUGGGACAGUCCUGGUUUACACCAUUGCUCUGUUUUAAUUUUUAUCAAUGACAUUUUUCACUCAAAGCUGUCCCCAGUUGGAAGAUAAAGGUACGUGGUGACUGCAAUUAUGCGGCAUGUGUGCUUUGCCUUAGAGAAAAGAGAGGUGACAAAAGUUCUAAGUGAAGAAGAUAAAGUACAGCUUGACCAGCUGAUAAAUAUGUUGUGGGGUUUUGGAGGAGAAUUUCAGCAAGAGCAGUUGACUCCAGAUGAUAUGCAAGGCUGCUUUUGACCUCUCUGUCUGAAAGGACAUACUUAAAAUCCAGUAUUUGUUUGCUGUUCCCCCUUUAUUUAUUUUGAGACAGAGUCUCACUGUGUUGCCCAGGUUGGAGUGCGGUGGCACGAUCUCGGCUCACUGCAACCUCCGCCUCCUGGAUUCAAGCAGUUCUCCUGCCUCAGCCUCCUGAGUAGCUGGGAUUACAGGCGUGUACCACCACGCUUGCCUAAUUUUUGUAUUUAGUGGAGACGAGGUUUCACCACAUUGGCCGUUCUGGUCUUGAACUCCUGACCUCAGGUGAUCCACCUGCCUUGGCCUUCCAAAGUGCUGGGAUUACGGGCAGCACAGGGUGGCUGCACAUCCUAAGUUGCCUAGGACAGUCCUGGUUUACACCAUUGCUCUGUUUUAAUUUUUAUUAGUGACAUUUUUCACUCAAUGCUGUCCCCAGUUGGAAGAUAAAGGUAUGUGGUGACUGCAAUUAUGUGGCAUGAGGUGGUUCUUGCCUCCAUGCCUGUGUGCGACAUGAAGUUCCUAGGUUCAUGUUAGAAAAUCGUCUUCCUAGAAAAGGAUUUUAUUUUAUUUUAUUUAUUUUUUUUUUUAGUUUAUUGGGGUUGGGAGCUUUUUGGGGAGACACUGACCAGAAGCCUAAGUGACCAAUA